rnacentral:tRNA from 1 species
GCCCACGUAGCUCAGCAGGUAGAGCACUUCCUUGGUAAGGAAGAGGUUCACCGGUUCGACCCCGGUCGUGGGCUCCA